rnacentral:lncRNA from 1 species
CUAAUGCUACUAAACUACAAAUCAACUUGUUAAUUAAACAAAAAGGAAAAGAACAAUCCAAACAAAUAAUAAUUGAACAAAGGUAAACAAUCAAAAGUAAUCACUGCUUCUUUAUUCUCUUUUUAAUUUGUCUUAGAACAAACAAAACACCAAAAUAGAACAAGAAAGACAAGGAAAUGCUCAAUGAGAAGGACGAGCUGAAGCCGAGUUCUGGUUGCAUUUCUAAAUAGUUUGAAACGGAUCCAAAAUGAUUGUUCUUGUCAAGAGCAAUCUAUUUGGGUGAGCUUCGAACAAAUCGAACAACAAUAUUUGCAAAAAUUCCCAAACAUGCACAACUAGGUUUUCUUUUGACUUUGAGAUCUAAAGUUGAAAGGGUUCGGUGAGGAUUUAAGGAAAUCCACUAGUGGAUUUAGAAAGAAGAGAGAAAGGUGAUUGUAUGGUGACAGUUUGGGGUGAUUUGGAGCGUCUCCUCCAUCGCGAGGCGAUUUUCGACGGGUGACGGCUAGGGUUUAGGAGUGUAGAAUGAGGGCAGCUAGGUUUUGAUCUUGAGAGACAGGGGGAGGGGAAUGGGGAGAG